UAUUAUUUCUAAGUCAUGAGAUAUGCUAUAUGCUGUCCAUGUUUUCGUGUGUUAUCAUAUUACUCGUUUUGAGUCAGGUUCAAAAUAAUAUAUUAGCUUGUGUUUAGAUUUGAUUGGUUAGUUAAAAAAAUUCGGAACUUUGAUUGCGAAAAUAGUAUUGCAAUUAAGAAAAAUAGGACAGAAGUUCUACAUAUGUUGUGUCUCAAAAAUGUCUGGUCCUUUAGAAAUGGAGGUCAUAAUUAAAAAGAUAUUAAUAUAAAAACAAAUAUUAUUUAAAUACUAUAAUAAUAGAUGAAAAAUAUAUGAAUUAGUAGAUGCAUAUGAAGUUUGUAAACAAAAUUUAUUGGGAUCAAAACCUAAUUUUCACUAAUAAUUUACGAAAUUCAAUCAAAUUUACACUAUAAAUAGUUAUAUGUUAAUUUUUAUAGGAGUUUCAUGACACCCCUAACCUCUUCUUACUACUCGUCUCUUGUCAAUAAGCAUUGUUUGCAUUUUAAUGGAUUAUUUACUAAUUUGGUUACAUAUAGUCGCAAAUAAAGGUUUGACUUAGCCCCACCGUUAUCUAUUAGUAGAUUCAACUAUUUUUAUCAUGUGUUUGGGUAUAUAUAUGAUUGUUAAGAGAUUAAGACAAAAUAUGACUUUACGUAUUCAUACAUCAAGAGAUAAUUUUAUACAGCAUUUAUAAGUUAUGAGAUCUGCUACAUUGUUCACAUUUUCUUGUGUUAUCAUGUUAUUUGUUUUGGGUCAUUUUCAAGAGAAGUAUGCUCGGGUGCCAAAAAAGGUGUGCAGAUAAGAAGCGAUGCAUGCGUAGCAGCUUUUAAUAAGAGAAAAAACAAGUUUUUGGAUGUGAGUGUUUAGGAUAUAAUAAUCCUAGUACUUGUGUAUGUAAUACUACUGCUUGCUAAUUAAACAUUAUUUUAUACCUCCAUAACCAAAAUAUAUUUACUAGUUAAUAAAUAAUAAAAAUGCUAUGGGAGCUCUUUAUGUUGGACAUGUAAGCUAAAAUACUCAUUUCAGAAUAAUGUUAUUAUUAUUA